rnacentral:rRNA from 1 species
UACGUAGGGGGCAAGCGUUGUCCGGAUUUAUUGGGCGUAAAGAGCGUGUAGGCGGCCAGGUAGGUCUGCUGUGAAAACUCGAGGCUCAACCUCGAGACGUCGGCGGAAACCAUCUGGCUAGAGUCCGGAAGAGGAGAGUGGAAUUCCUGGUGUAGCGGUGAAAUGCGCAGAUAUCAGGAAGAACACCCGUGGCGAAGGCGGCUCUCUGGGACGGUACUGACGCUGAGACGCGAAAGCGUGGGGAUCGAACAGG